UUAAGGCUGGUGAAGCAUAAGCUUUAGGCCACCAAAUAAUAAAAAAAAAAUGAGGCCACAUAGCUUAAGUAUGUUUAGGUUUAGGUCAAGUGACUUUGACUUAUUAGUUGUAAACAUCGUUCUUUCUCGUAGCGUAAUAGAGAUUUUAUCACUUUUUUGUUUUGAUUUAUCAUUUUGUUUUGUUUGUUUAUACUCUUUUUUCACUCUGUUCAACCAUAUAUCUUUUAUUCUGCUUUUACAUUUCAUUCUUUUUUCAUUGUAUUUUUUAGUUUGACUAAUCGUUUGUAUAAGGUUUUAAAAUUUCCAACCAUUUUCAAAAAAUUUACUAGUAUAUUAUCAUUACCAAAAUUAAUAAACUUCAAGAGGCCAACAUCUUGUUUAACUCAUGCAUUUAAAGCUUGAAACCAAAUAUAAGUAACAUAAACAUCUUUUUAGGGAUGAUUCACAUAUUUUAUAUUGUUGUUUGCUUACAAAAAUGUAUUAAAUUAAUUAAACACUAUAAACAAAAAUAUAUAGUUAAAUAUUUAAAAUAUAAGGCCACAUUUAACUAAAAUGCUUUAAGCCACAUAAAUUUUAGGGACGGCACUGAGAAGACGUCCUGAACUCUUCGAGCUUGUCCGUGACAGGUUUGGUGUACAUAUCGCCGCAAACAAGAGAGACACGGCUAAAAUUAGAACAAUACUCAAAACAGUCUCUCUGAUGUUAGUGAGAAACCAACGCUAACUAUCUGAGGAGACUUCUUUGUCACCGCAUAGGCCAGAGGGAAAAAAUCGUUGGCUGCAUCUAACUAACCCUGAGGCAAUCAAUCAUCAAUUUCAAAUGGUCUUACCUUUCAAGGCAUAUAUCAUCAACGGCUUAUAUAGUUUAGGCAUUUAAUUCAAAUUUUGUUCAAGUGGAGGAAUGUUUUAAGCUCGUCUCCAAUAUACGGGUAUGAAAUUUCUCACCAACCCACAGUGCUAGCAUGAAUUUUCCGUUUUCCCGUUAACUAGAUAGUAACCCGCACUUUGCGCGGAAUAAAAUGUUUAUAUUAGUGUUGAAAUUAUAUAUUAUGAUUAUGUAUAACAUAAGGUAUAUUUUAAGCGAUAGUUAGAUAUAACUGAAUGUAUGAUAGUUAUCAGGAGCAAAGCCAGAGACUUUUUAUAAUGGGUUCACUAUUAUUAAAAUUUAAUAUAUGGUGUUUGCAAGUUUGGAAGAAGCUUUGGAAAAUAUUUUUUUUUAUAUUUUUGCCUAUCACGUUGUAGUAGUUAUGGACUUAGGGGUUUAACAAAUAAAAUCGGUAAAAUAUUAUAAGCAAAACAAUAACUGUGUGAAAAAAAGUAUAGCUCCUUUAAAUUCAGAAAAUGUAGUUGCGUAAUAAAAAAAAUUGAAGCUUAUUUGAUCCUCUAAAUUGUAAAAGUUGUUCCAACACGUGACUUGCUGGUGGUUCGUUCCUGGAAAUUUAUUCUCAUCUUCAAGGUCGUCUAACGAAGAGAUCUCAUGCGGCGAAGGUGGUGACACUCACAUGCUUAUAUUGCUUGCUCGAGAAGACUAAUACACUAAGCCGAGACGAUUUACAGUGAUUCAGUCUCCUCGAAAUAGAGAUCACCUCAUCGAGCAGUAACAAAACCGAGUACAACACAUUUAUCUAGAAAUAUAUUUUCAACGUUCUCUUUCAGCAAUGAGAAGCGGUUCUGAAGAACGUGAGUGAUCUGCUUAAAUGUAUAAAAGCAAGUAUGGAGAAAAAGGUUCUUUCAUUAACACUUGGCAUCGUACUAAAGUUCAUCGCUUUGUCGUCUCUACGGAUUUGUCGAGUUAAUGGUGAUAGAUCAUAUGAGUUGCCGUUUUUAACAUAAACGUAUAGAAGAAUAAUAAAUUUUUAUUUAUGCUAUGAUUAUAUUGAAAGGAUUGAUAAACCAACUAAUCGAAUUUGAACCUGAAGGUUUAUCACGUAAAAGUGUUUGUUGAGAAAAUAUAGAUGGUAUGAAAUUCUUUUUAAGGAAUGUUAGUGUGAACGUAUUAAAUUCAUAAUUUUGGUGAAAAACAUUCUCUGCGUGAUACCUAAACGUUUUACUAAAUAAAAGUUUCUCGUGAAGCCACGUCACCACGUCAUAUUCUUUGCCAGUAAGAUCUAUCCUAUACUAAAAGGAAGAUAUGGAGUGUUUUUAACCUGUCCACGUCGGAUGGGAAAUUCUAGCCAAUCAGAUUGCAGGUUUGAUCCACGUCAUUACGAAUUGAUAUGGUUUGGGCUUUUGUUGUUUAUUUUUUAAAUCGUAGAGUAAAAAAUGGGCCUAAACCCUAAGUCCCACCGUUUGUCAGAGACCACGAACAGACUGCCCACAACACGAAAAGUUCGAACAUGAAACGAUUAUAAUUAAGAUUCUCCAUUAAUUUCUAUACCAACCCCUUCCUCUACGUUACAUUUAAUUUUUUCUUUUUCUACCUAAAAAAACUUCAGAGAUAUAUACACUAUAAAUAAUGAGGAUGCUGUGAUCAAAUCUCUUCCAUUCAAUUAACCUGCAACAAUGUUGACCUCUCAUCUCCUCUCCUGCUGUCAGAUUUGAAGUCCGGUUGUUCUCCGCAGGCAGACGGUGGUCAUGCUCUUGAUUAAUGAAAAAUUCAUCAAUAGCUAUUUGCUUCACCUAAUCGACAUUACAUACGGAGCUCUUUAGGUUUUGUUGAUAUGAAUAAUUGAUGGUGUCUCCACGAUUAAUUGGGCCAUUUGUAAGGCUAUUGAUCUGUUGGAAAUGCUAAAGAGAGAAGAGGAAAUGCUUUCUGCAAUCAAGGAAAAACAGUUGAAGGGGCUCUUGAUGAUCGCACAUAGAAAGCUGAAUCUGGCGCACAUAUUUUUCGAAUGUUCAACAUGGAUGACCAAUGUUUUUCUUCAAGAUGUAAUCAAAGAAAUCAAUAAAGACAAUUUAAAGAUUUGCCUCUUGACAUGUAUUUCACUGAUGUUUGUCUUUUCGAGCUGUUAUGGUUACCCAAAAUGCAGGAUGGAUGUUUGAGUAUGGAGAAUAUGUUGCGAUGAUGUAAAAGGGAAAUGCUGGUGUCAAGAGACAUGAAUGAGAAAUAGCCUAAACAUCAACAUGAGAAAUGUGUAGGCACAUACACAAUACCCACAUCAGCGUCUUUGGAACAUUUACCGUUGUGGCUGCUAAUGUUUGUAAUCUUGAACUACAGAGAAGGCUGCAAGUGAAACAGGAUUCAGUGAUUCAUAGGUGCAAGAAGGCAGUUGAAUCUUUAGAAGGUUUAAGUUUAAAAUGUAAAAGAAAAACCAAUGUCUCAUCAUCAUUAGUUGUGAGGACUAUUUCAAAUGUCUCUGUUUUAUUUGUAACAACAGUUACAAGUUUGGUAAGUUUUGUUUAAUCUUCAUUCUUCAAA